rnacentral:rRNA from 1 species
GAUGAACGCUGGCGGCGUGCCUAAUACAUGCAAGUCGAGCGAACAGACGAGGAGCUUGCUCCUCUGACGUUAUCGGCGGACGUGUGAGUAACACGUGUAUAACCUACCUAUAAUACUGGGAUAACUUCGGGAAACCGUAGCUAAUACCGGAUAAUAUAUUUAACCGCAUGGUUCAAUAGUUAAAGACGUUUUUUCUGUCUCUUUUAGAUUGAUCCGCGCCGCAUUAGCUAGUUGGUAAGGUAACGGCUUACCAAGGCAACGAUGCGUAUCCGACCUGAGAGGGGGAUCGGACACACUGGAACUGAGACACGGUCCAGACGACUACGGGAGGCAGCAGUAGGGAAUAUUACGCAAUGGGCGAAAGCAUGACGGAGCAACGCCGCGUGAGUGAUGAAGGUCUUCGGAGCGUAAAAAUCUGUUAUUAGGGAAGAACAAAUGUGUAAGUAACUAUGCACGUAUUGACGGUACCUAAUAAGAAAGCAACGGCUAACUACGUG